rnacentral:misc_RNA from 1 species
GGAUGGCGUCANUUGGCAGGCUCCGUGCUCGUGCACCGAACUGUCGGAAGGCCAUUCNCUUCAGUCUUUCCCCAAGCGCANCUGCUGCCUUGAGGGCUCAUUCGGUAUCCUGUGUUGCCUACCCACAAAACGGAAAUUGAUUGUUUCGCUGUCCCCCGUCCGCCUUGUGCCCUUCCGGGUGCGGGGUGGACGCGAGGCGGACUCUGUGUUCUCGGCAUGCCUCGCUCAUACGCUUGGCCGCUGCGGCCCAUGGAGUCUCCGCCCGUGCUCUCGGACGCGGAAUGYUGCGCGUGGACGUGAGGUYUCGGCCUCAAUCCGUCCAAGCUACACGCAUCGUCCCUUGACGCAAACGACUGCCGCGCCCGUCUUGGCCGACCAACCGUGACCCCCAACGGGGCCCCGAGAGGGGCGGUUCAUGCGGGCGUCGGCGUCNAGAAGGAAUGCUAC